rnacentral:rRNA from 1 species
UACGUAGGGUGCAAGCGUUACUCGGAAUUACUGGGCGUAAAGCGUGCGCAGGCGGUUCGGAAAGAAAGAUGUGAAAUCCCAGGGCUUAACCUUGGAACUGCAUUUUUAACUGCCGGGCUAGAGUAUGUCAGAGGGGGGUAGAAUUCCACGUGUAGCAGUGAAAUGCGUAGAGAUGUGGAGGAAUACCGAUGGCGAAGGCAGCCCCCUGGGAUAAUACUGACGCUCAUGCACGAAAGCGUGGGGAGCAAACAGG